rnacentral:rRNA from 1 species
GUGGGGAAUUUUGGACAAUGGGCGCAAGCCUGAUCCAGCCAUACCGCGUGAGUGAAGAAGGCCUUCGGGUUGUAAAGCUCUUUCAGCCGGAAAGAAAUCGUGCAGGUUAAUAACCUGUAUGGAUGACGGUACCGGAAGAAGAAGCACCGGCUAACUACGUGCCAGCAGCCGCGGUAAUACGUAGGGUGCGAGCGUUAAUCGGAAUUACUGGGCGUAAAGCGUGCGCAGGCGGUUUUGUAAGACAGACGUGAAAUCCCCGGGCUUAACCUGGGAACUGCGUUUGUGACUGCAAGGCUAGAGUGCGGCAGAGGGGGGUAGAAUUCCACGUGUAGCAGUGAAAUGCGUAGAUAUGUGGAGGAAUACCGAUGGCGAAGGCAGCCCCCUGGGUCGACACUGACGCUCAUGCACGAAAGCGUGGGGAGCAAACAGGAUUAGAAACCCCUGUAGUCC